UGUGCCCUACGGGACGCAGCAGUGGGGAAUAUUGCACAAUGGGGGAAACCCUGAUGCAGCGACGCCGCGUGAGUGAAGAAGUAUUUCGGUAUGUAAAGCUCUAUCAGCAGGGAAGAUAAUGACGGUACCUGAGUAAGAAGCCCCGGCUAACUACGUGCCAGCAGCCGCGGUAAUACGUAGGGGGCAAGCGUUAUCCGGAUUUACUGGGUGUAAAGGGAGCGUAGCCGGCAUGGCAAGUCUGAAGUGAAAGCCCGUGGCUCAACCGCGGGACUGCUUUGGAAACUGUUAAGCUGGAGUGCAGGAGG
rnacentral:rRNA from 1 species